GACGAACGCUGGCGGCGUGCCUAAUACAUGCAAGUUGAGCGAUGAAGAUUGGUGCUUGCACCAAUUUGAAGAGCAGCGAACGGGUGAGUAACGCGUGGGGAAUCUGCCUUUGAGCGGGGGACAACAUUUGGAAACGAAUGCUAAUACCGCAUAACAACUUUAAACAUAAGUUUUAAGUUUGAAGGAUGCAAUUGCAUCACUCAAAGAUGAUCCCGCGUUGUAUUAGCUAGUUGGUGAGGUAAAGGCUCACCAAGGCGAUGAUACAUAGCCGACCUGAGAGGGUGGUCGGCCACAUUGGGACUGAGACACGGCCCAAACUCCUACGGGAGGCAGCCGUAGGGAAUCUUCGGCAAUGGACGAAAGUCUGACCGAGCAACGCCGCGUGAGUGAAGAAGGUUUUCGGAUCGUAAAACUCUGUUGGUAGAGAAGAACGUUGGUGAGAGUGGAAAGCUCAUCAAGUGACGGUAACUACCCAGAAAGGGACGGCUAACUACGUG
rnacentral:rRNA from 1 species